rnacentral:misc_RNA from 1 species
AAUUCCUAAUGCUGAGUGAAUAUCUAUUAGACUAUGACAACGUUAGAGGUUAUUGUUUAUGUUGGGGUUCAGAAUUUCUCACGAAAUGCAUCCAACUAUCCAGUUGCGUAUACUGAUUCCACUGGGGAAAUCAGCAUCUGCAGGUUCAUGAACAGUGUGAUCCCUCAAGCAUGCCACAUGGAAAAUGCAUGUGAUGGCAUGUGUUUGUAUGACUGGAUGUCUGCCUUCUGCUUCCUUGAAGGCUGGUAGCACCGAAGAAGAUGUGGUACUUUGUUGAGCCCUCAGUAUAGCCUCUGAAUGAGGAUGUUUAAACUGUACCUGAUGAUAUUGGUCUACACUGAACUUGGGGUGAAUUUGAAUAUGUCAGUUUUUUAUUUUACAGAGGAAAGCCUUUAUGAACUUUGAAAACCAUUGUGUUAUUGGGUGACUUGGUUGCUUGACAUGGUGACAUUUUGGUAUGUGUGUAAAUGUUUCAAUUAGUCUUGAAACAAGUUAGAGCCAACCUAAUGAUCUAAAUUAGAUGCCGACAUGGAUAUGUUUUUCUCCUUAGACUUAUUUAUUGAUUCUUUACAU